rnacentral:rRNA from 1 species
GACAUCCACAGAAGAAUCCAGAGAUGGAUUUGUGCCUUCGGGAACUGUGAGACAGGUGCUGCAUGGCUGUCGUCAGCUCGUGUUGUGAAAUGUUGGGUUAAGUCCCGCAACGAGCGCAACCCUUAUCCUUUGUUGCCAGCGGUUAGGCCGGGAACUCAAAGGAGACUGCCAGUGAUAAACUGGAGGAAGGUGGGGAUGACGUCAAGUCAUCAUGGCCCUUACGACCAGGGCUACACACGUGCUACAAUGGCGCAUACAAAGAGAAGCGACCUCGCGAGAGCAAGCGGACCUCAUAAAGUGCGUCGUAGUCCGGAUUGGAGUCUGCAACUCGACUCCAUGAAGUCGGAAUCGCUAGUAAUCGUGGAUCAGAAUGCCACGGUGAAUACGUUCCCGGGCCUUGUACACACCGCCCGUCACACCAUGGGAGUGGGUUGCAAAAGAAGUAGGUAGCUUAACCUUCGGGAGGGCGCUUACCACUUUGUGAUUCAUGACUGGGGUGAAGUCGUAACAAGGUAACCGUAGGGGAACCUGCGGUUGGA